GACACUGUGGGGACGCAGAUGUCUGGUGAUGAGGUCUCAAGAGCUGUUCUGCCCCUUCAGCCAUGCUAAAGUCCACGGACGCUUCUCUCCCUGGAGCCUAAAGUAGUGAUGGGUAGUCUGGGCCCUGGGUGAGGUAAAGGACAUUCCUGAGGCCAGUCUUCUGGGAAUAACUCUCUUCCUUGAUCCUUGGAGGAGUCCAACGCGAUUCUGGAACUCUGUGCUCUGAGAUCAUGCAUCUCCCACCCAUCUGCCCUUCUCCCUCCUGCAUGUAUACAUCUUUAAUUCCCAUUGCCAAGGACUCUGUCCAGAAACUCCUCUAAGACCUUACUUCUUCCAGCCCCAAAUCAUUCAUUUUUCUAUGGUCCAGCCCUACCCCUAUAAGCCAUGAUCUCCAGAGCUUUUCGUCUUCCAGCUGCAGUCUCCACAGUCUUCAGAAGACGAAGGCUCAGGUAGUCACUGUUUCCAAAAACCUCUUUGUUGUAGAAUAAAACGGAGAUACAGA